ensembl:ncRNA F20D1.12 ncRNA
GUAAACACAGAGGUUUUUUGGUAUGCUUAACCCGAUUCCAAUACUAGUUUCCUUUGAAGAAAUUCUUAAAUGCCCUAACCGCUCAAAUGGAGAUGGUCCCCGAACAGUUGAGCGCACUGUAUAUGAAUGUUAAGAAGUAAUUUUUCAAAUUCUGAAAAAUUAUCAGAAGUUAAUACAUACAUAAGACUCCAGAACAAACAGUCGUCAAAGAAAUGCAUAUCAUA